rnacentral:rRNA from 1 species
UACAGAGGUCUCAAGCGUUGUUCGGAUUCAUUGGGCGUAAAGGGUGUGUAGGUGGCGCGCUAAGUCGGGUGUGAAAUUUCGGAGCUUAACUCCGAAACUGCAUUCGAUACUGGCGUGCUUGAGGACUGGAGAGGAGACUGGAAUUUACGGUGUAGCAGUGAAAUGCGUAGAGAUCGUAAGGAAGACCAGUGGCGAAGGCGAGUUUCUGGACGGUAACUGACGCUGAGGCACGAAGGCCAGGGGAGCAAACGGG